rnacentral:tRNA from 1 species
ACGGCCAUAGUGAAAUGGUAUAAUUCUGGUCUCCAAAACCAGCGUUCUAGGUUCGAGUCCUAGUGGCCGUGCAA